UUGUUUCUUUCCUUUUUUUUUUUACUUCUGUGUACUGUCGCAUUGAGGACAAUGCAUUGUUUAAAUAUGGGAGGAAAUACUUAUCACUCCUCUACUUGUUUCUAUUGCUAAUACAAAAAAUUUUGCUUGUCCUUUUCAAUCAUUUUUACAUAUUUUGGCAUAACAAAAGAUUUUCCUAAAUAUUAAAUGCAUACCCUACGAGUAUAUAGGUUGUCUUGUGGAG
rnacentral:lncRNA from 1 species